UGAACGCUAGCGGCAGGCCUAAUACAUGCAAGUCGAACGAUACCAGAGAGCUUGCUUUCUGGGAGAGUGGCGCACGGGUGCGUAACGCGUAUGCAACCUACCUUAAUCAGGGGGAUAGCCUCUCGAAAGAGAGUAUUAACACCGCUAUAAAAAUCACACUUCGGACAUCGAAGAAUGAUCAAAUAUUUAUAGGAUUAAGAUGGGCAUGCGUGACUAUUAGCUAGUUGGUAAG
rnacentral:rRNA from 1 species